UGGUGCCAGCAGCCGCGGUAACUCCAGCUCCAAAAGCGUAUAUUAAAGUUGUUGCAGUUAAAAAGCUCGUAGUUGGAUCUGGGUCGUGUGAUUGCAUGCCGCUUCCUGUUCUUUUGAUUUGGUUACGAUCAAGGAUAUAGUUCGGGUCGGUGCAGUAGUCGCACAGCCUUUCAGUCGUAUCUGUGUAAACAGGUGUCGAUAGGCAGUGGGUUUACCCAUUAGCCUGUUGGCAUGCUUUCGGUGCCUUUAACCGGGUGACGGAGGCGGACGGCAUCUUUACUUUGAACAAAUUUGAGUGCUCAAAGCAGGCCACCGAGCCUGAAAAUUCUUGCAUGGAAUAAUAGAAAAGGACUUCGGUUCUAUUUUGUUGGUUUUCGGAUCUGAAGUGAUGGUUAAGAGGGACAGACGGGG
rnacentral:rRNA from 1 species